CUGGCCGUAAACGAUGGGUACUAGGUGUAGGAGGUAUCGACCCCUUCUGUGCCGGAGUUAACGCAAUAAGUACCCCGCCUGGGGAGUACGGCCGCAAGGUUGAAACUCAAAGGAAUUGACGGGGGCCCGCACAAGCGGUGGAGUAUGUGGUUUAAUUCGACGCAACGCGAAGAACCUUACCAGGGCUUGACAUUGAUUGAAAGACGUAGAGAUACGUACCUCUUCUUCGGAAGACAAGAAAACAGGUGG
rnacentral:rRNA from 1 species